AUUGAACGCUGGCGGCAUGCUUUACACAUGCAAGUCGAACGGUAACAGGUUAAGCUGACGAGUGGCGAACGGGUGAGUAAUGCAUCGGAACGUGCCCGAUCGUGGGGGAUAACGCAGCGAAAGCUGCGCUAAUACCGCAUACGAUCUGAGGAUGAAAGCGGGGGACCGUAAGGCCUCGCGCGAUCGGAGCGGCCGAUGUCAGAUUAGGUAGUUGGUGGGGUAAAGGCUCACCAAGCCGACGAUCUGUAGCUGGUCUGAGAGGACGACCAGCCACACUGGGACUGAGACACGGCCCAGACUCAUACGGGAGGCAGCAGUGGGGAAUUUUGGACAAUGGGCGCAAGCCUGAUCCAGCAAUGCCGCGUGCAGGAAGAAGGCCUUCGGGUUGUAAACUGCUUUUGUACGGAGCGAAAAGGCUCUCUCUAAUACAGGGGGCUCAUGACGGUACCGUAAGAAUAAGCACCGGCUAACUACGUGCCAGCCGCCGCCGUAAAAC
rnacentral:rRNA from 1 species